UCGCCUGUUUUUAAAAACAUAGCCUUAGGAAUAUUGAUCUAAGGUUAAACCUGCCCAAUGUGUAACUUAUGAAAAUAAAUUAUCAAUGGCCGCGGUACUUUGACCGUGCUAAGGUAGCGCAAUCAAUUGGCUUUUAAAUGGAGUCAGGUAUGAAUGGAAUUACGGAGUUUAGCUGUCUCUGAACUGCUUUAUAGAAAUUACUUUAUAGGUGAAAAAGCCUAUAUAAAGAUAAAGGACGAGAAGACCCUUAGAGUUUUAUUUAAUAUAAAUUAUUUAUUUACGAUGAUUUAGUUGGGGCAACAUAAGAACAGAUAGAAUAUAACUUCUUGGAAUUUACAUAUCGAUUUUUAUAAGUAUGAAUAAACUACCUUAGGGAUAACAGCAUAAUUUAAAAUAUAAGUUUGUGACCUCGAUGUUGGACUAGGAAACUAAUGGGCUAGCCGCUUUUUAGAAAGGUUCUGUUCGAACUAAAAAUCCUACGUG
rnacentral:rRNA from 1 species